ensembl:lncRNA
GUGGCCCUGUACCACGAAGCUCGCUUAGAGGGUUAGCGAGUUGCCACACGAGGACUUGGCAGCAAAUGAAGUACAAAAAUAUAGUUUAAACAGCAAAUCGAAAAAAUGCAGAGGCCCGGCAGACUGGAGGGGGUCCACCACCUGCAGCCCUCACAGAGGCUGAGGAGAUGGCCCUAAGCCAACAGAGUAUGCGUCCUGUGGCUGAGGGCAUCCCUGGGGGGAGCUCCUCUGAUCCCCCCCACCAGGAUAGAAGUGCCUUUACAGUAUAAGAGUUACUGAUGGCGUCAUCGCCCUACUUGAACCAGAUGCCCUCACCAACCUCCAGGCAAUUGUAACAAUUCAAAAGAUGCAAAAGGAUGCUUUGGAGAUCCACAUUUUGGAACAUAAGUUAUAGGUGGGUGAGGUGCAAACUGGGAUACUGUUCCCUGCUCUAAAAACAUACCCAAUAUAAAUGACUUUUUUUUUUUUGUGCUUUUAGCAAAUAAAAAAUCCUCAUAAUAAGUAGAUUUCUCUUUAUUAGAACACGGGCUGUGGUGGGACAAGUUAUUUUGUUGAACAGUUUACUCAAAGGGUUUUACUUCAGUGAACAAUGCAGACGAUUAUGCUGAGCAUGUGCAUGUAGAGAAGAACAGCAUCUGGUUAAAAGCAGUACCAGGGUCUUUUGCCUUGCAUUCUUAAAAUGAGUUUCUUGACUUGCAGCAGUUAUAGGUCCGUGGUUAGUCAGCUACUCUGAACAUGGGAAAGCCACAACGUUGAAGAGACUGUAGAGAGCGGGUGGGAUGCACGGGGCGGAUCAUUCUGCACAUGCGUUAAUU